rnacentral:lncRNA from 1 species
GGACGCUGAGCGAUUGGUGGUUACCCGAUCAGUAGCCGCUGAUUGAAUGACUAGGUGUCAUAAAGGGUUACAAAACCACCAAGAGUGGGGAGUGAAGCAGGAGUCCAGUAUCACCGAAUUUUUCUUUAAUAUUUUCCUCUAAGCUUCACAGCUGGUAGCUCCACUGUCUUUGGAUCCUUUGUUUACGAUAUCUUACUCAAGUAACGCUCCAGAAGAAGCACCGUGGCAAAGGUCUGAAUGCGCUGCCUGGAGCGUUACCUGUCGUCUGGGCGAGAGAGGACUCCAACAGAAGCGUCCCCCUUGUGUCCACGGCGGGAUGUGCUGUGCUACAACUGCUUAACCAGUGUCAAAGAGGCAGAUCAAGGCCAGAGUCCUAUACUGAUGACGAGAAGAUUCCCCCACACGUCACUCAGAGUUCAGUGCUCAUGGAUGAAUACAAGGGCUCUUCAAGUCUGUGCUCACCUAAAGCCAAGCCCCACACGGACACACUACGGAUGGGUACGAGCGCUGGGAAAUGUUGGGUUCUGCUCCAGGACGCUUGUUGGGGUGGGAGGCUGAACCAGGCCCAUCCAAGACUAGUUUUUCUAAGUCUGCUUCACAUUUUUUUCUAGAAAAUUAGAAUGUCACUGUGCCUCACUGAAUUUUUGAAUCUCACUAAGACUUAGUUUCCUCAACUCAAAUGGGGUGGUAGUGAGGGUGAACAGCUGUCUUGGUUUACCUGGGAAAUUAGUCAGUAUGGGUGAGGACUUUGAACAUAUAUUUCCUCUUCCUUAUUCCCCAUUAAAAACAAAACAAAAUGAAAUAUUGAUUUUCUUAUGAAAGAAAGAAAGCAUAAUCCACUUUAAUUUACGAACAUACCUUUAUUGACCAACUACUAUGGGCCAGGCUCCACUUUUGGCUCUGAGGAUAUAUCAGUGAACAAAGCAGACAGAAAUCCCCAUCCUCCGUUUAUAUUCAAGGGGGAGGAGAGAGAGACAGCAUGUGAAUAGUUAGUGUGCUGGGAUCUGGCAACCACUCUGCAGGGAGAACGCCGAGGAGAGCAAUGCAAUCAGGUGUGCCGGGCAGCGGGAAGCCUGCGGCUUUCCAUUGUCCGAAGAGUGGUGCGACCAGGGUGGACUUCCUGGAGAAGGUGACAUCUGGAGAAAAAUUGAAGGAGAGGAAGCAGGAGCCAGGUGUGUUUUGGGGGUAUGUUCCACCCCCAGGGGAGCAGCAAGGGCAACUCUGAGGCAGGAACAAGGGUGUCGUGUGGAGAAGAGGUAAGAUGGCCGAUGGAGCAAGGAGCGGUCCUGUCAGGGAGGCAUGGGAGCCCGGCUGGUCUGUGGUAAGGUCACGGGCUGUUAUAGAGAGGGUUGGAGGCUUGGGCAGGAGUGGCAAAGGCUUCCAGAAACUUCUCAGCUCCGCAGAAGGAAAGCCAGAGUCCUUACAAUGGACUCCUAACUUCCAUCACAGAUAUCUGAACUCUUAACCAACUCCCAGCUCACAGGUGACCCUCCUUUCCCACCUUCUUCAUCCCAGAUAUCAAAGGAC